AAAAGGGGCGGGGGCCGGGAGUCGAGGGGCGGGGAUGGUGUUGGGGGCUGGCGUGCCGGCCAUGGCUUGGUAGGCUGUGGCUCCUGUGUCGUUGCUCUGGUAUGGGUGCGUGGCUGUUGGGGCCUCGGAAUGACCACCGUUCAGAAGGCCUGAGAGCGACCUGGGAGCUGUGAGACUCAAGCAUAGAAACCACCUGGCUUUCUGACUAGUUUGUCAGGCAGCCUGAAGCUCCCGGAGAGAUGGGACAUGCCUCUCAACAUCCAGAGCUGGAACUGGUCAGCAGCCAUUCUCAGGGAUAAAGUGACCUUUUCAGUGUUGGAGAUUGUUCUGGUGUUUGAUAGGUUUUGAAAGGCAUAGUUCAAAUACUUUAAUUAACAAAAGGAUGAGGGAAGCCAAAUAAGAACCUGAAUAGAAUGGCUUUAAAAAGUUAAAAUUACUGAGAAAGAUUCACAUGCUCUGUUUGAAGAUAACAGAAUGGAAACACAAAAGCUUCUGGGCACUGGGAAAUGGUGAAGGACCUAAUGGAAGGAUUACAGCUGCCAGUUACCAACACAGAACCCACUGUUUGCACAGAGAUUGUGAGGCCACCUCUUCUUCUACCUCAGACUGAAAACUAUCUCCUUUCGCUUGCUCCUCUGACUGCACUGCUGCCUUCCUACCCUUGACCCCACUCCAUCAGCUGUGCUGACAAAUGGGGAGGUUGAUGUGGCAGAGGACAGACAGAAUUUGGGGACUGGCAUAAGCCAGAAGAGCAGGCUGCAGACUAUGGAGUGACUGGCCUUGGCUGCUGCCAUCAGCCCCCAUGUUAUUGGUACUUGUGCUGUGCAGCUUUGGGGGAAGGAAGGAGGCUGCCAGCACUUUCUCACAUCAAAAGUACUACUACAGCCAAACGAAUCUUCUGGCCAGGGGACAGAGAAUUUUAUGGGCCUGCCUGGCUUGUCCUCCAUCAAGAAGGACCCAGAAGUAAGUAAUGCCAACAAAUUUAGCACUUUACCAGAAAUAUGCUGGGACCUAAUUGCCGUAAUGGGAAUAAUUGAUGUUGGAGGAAAUAAGAUGGAAGUAACAUGGUACUAGACUUUCAGUCUGGAAGGCCUACCAGCUGCAUUUCCAGAAGUCAAGUAAGAGAUAAUGGUACUGAUCAGCAGGACCUAAUGUAAGACCUCCAUUCGCCUAGUGUGGUACUACAUCUAGGGCACCUCUGCACACAGUUUCACUCCCACAUCUGCAUCCUGUAGAUUUCUAUAUUGUACAGAACGGCAAAACUUUCCUGUGGUCCCUGCUAAAUCAGCCAGCCAUUACUGCUACAGAAACAGCCACUAUUACCUUCUCUGUGACAGUUUAGACAGAAUACUUUAGAUGAAUUCCAGAAGAAAAGCAGUAUUUUCACCUUCUGUAUUUGUAGAGCAACAAUUUCUUUACGGUAUUGCUUACGUAUUCAUAGAUUUUAUUUAUUUAUUUAUUUAUUUAGUGUGUGUGUUAAGAGGAGAUUACUCACUGGAAACAGUUUAAACUGAAUUACACUUUAAAGUGUGAUCUGUUCUCUUCUGCUCUUGUGCUCUGCACCAGUAAGAGCGUUUCUUGAAUGUUUGCCACAGCAUUUCAGUAAAUAGCAUCUACUUCCCUACUAAAUCACCAUAAAAUGAUCAUAUAUUUAAAAUUCUGUGAUAAUCAUCUUUUGAUUAGAAACUCAGUCCAGCUGAUCUUUUCUGAGGGAAAAUAGCAGCAACAGUGUAAAUACUUGACUGAUGGGUGCUUUCCUAUUUGCAUUUGUUGAACAAGAAUAUAAAACAGAAAACUUCGUUAACAAAGCUGAUGGGUUUUUAGAUUUGAACAAUAUAGCAAUGUAUUUCUGAGUAGGCUGCCAUCGAAGACGUGUGAACCGACUGCCAUCAUAAUUUGACUAAGGUCUAUUAUCUUUGUUUGUUCAGAAAGAAGUGAGGUUUCAUACAAUAAAAUUGGUUACUAUUCUGCACAGGCACACAAUGUCCUGGUCUUUUUGAGUGUUUGGCAAAAAAAAACUUCGUGCAUCCUCAGACUCAAAGUGAGUUUCCUCAAUGUCCACAAGCAAUGCAUGGUACUGCUCAUAUUAAUAAUUAAAAAAAACAACAACAACAAAAAACAGUAAAUAAGGAAUCUCUGUUGAAUGGUUAUUUUUAAUAAUUCUAGCUGAGAAAAUAGGCAAUAUGUUCAAGCAGCAGUUCAGCUGUAGGUAGUGAAGGCACCUAGAGAUUAACAGAAAGCUGAAAUGUCUGUUGUGCCAGCAUGGCAGUCCGCAAUUUAGAGAUACUCAGAAUAAAUUUAAAUGAGUUAGCCCAAGGUGUGGAAGGAGUUCAGCUGCAGAGGAACAGAGCUCUAAGCAGAGUAUUUAUUCCACCUCUUGGAAUUAUAAAAUAAUAAUUUAGUAGAAAAAGACACUGCCAGUAUCAAUUUUUAAAUGCCUGUAUUUGUAAGCUCUGAAUCUGAGAUGCAAACUAAGGGAAUGGAAAAUUCUCACUUGUAAUUAAACUCUUGAGAUACAAUUUGCUUGUCAGGAAUAUUAAUUUCUGGGUACAGGGUGCUGAGAACAACUUGGGAUAUAAAGUAGGAAAGAAUAACUGUUUGAAAAUACACCAUUGGUGAGUCUCUGAGAACAACUAAAAACAGCAUGAUCUUAAAUGUAGAUUUCCCAAAGUGUAUGCUAGUGACAUCUAUGAAAAGAGGAUGGCAGUUACAUCUUCCCUUGUGUUGAAAAAAACUCUUAUUCUCAUUUCCUAGAGACUUCAAUUGGCAUGCUUAUGCUGUGUUCCCAUACAGCCAGUAGUAAAGCAUCAUUAGGUUUUUGAAAAAUUCUUUUUUUCUCUCCUAAAAUUUUUACUGACUGUGACAUAAGGUAAUUAGUUUGGAUUCCAUUAUGAUGGAUAAUGAUGGACUGGAAGAUGGUGGUUGCUUAGGGACCAACAAUCAUAACCUGAUUACAUUCAGUAUGUGAUGUAUGUGCUUUAAAAAGCCUAACUGUCCAAGGCUGAGGCAAAUCAUGAACUGCAGAGAGAGGAAGGAGAGACAGGAAGAAAUCCAUGGAUGGAGGUGGAUAUUUCAGAAUAAGUUGUAUCCCAAAUAGCAAGGCUCCACAGCCUCAAGUCUUCAUGCUUAUAUCAUUUGAAAAUGUGAAUGUUUCUCUUAAUCAAAGGAAAACUCCAUGCAAAAUCUAAAACAUGUAACUUCAUCUGAAUCAAUUCCUUAGUGUUCUUUAAAAACUGGAUGUAAAUUGAAAAGAUUACUGUCUCUACAGUGUUUGAUAUACCUUUAAGCACUAGAGAAGACAGGAAAACUCUUUAAGUUGUGUUAAAAAAAUAUUAAAAAAACAAAUGGGAUGAGAUGGUUAACCAUUGAAUAGUUAGCUUGAUACUAUUUUUUGCAAGCAGCGGAGCAAAUAACAUAGAAUUCCAUUAUUAACAAAUACACUUUAAAAAGCCAAGAAGUAUAUAUAAAUAAAUGAAAUAUUCAAAUAAAUUAAUACAUUAAAAAAGAUUUCUUAAAUAAAUUUCAGACUUUAGACUCUGAGUAGAGACUUGGUCAAGCAUGAAUAAUGUCUUCCAAUGUCAAAUACUACGUCUACAAACAAUAGAUGCAUUCUAUUCAGCACAUCCAAUGGAGAAGGCGGGACUUACAUUUAGCUACUACUUCCACUCAGAAAAUAACAGGGUCUGAAGAGUAUAAAAUGAAUGAAAGGCAGGCUGAAGAAUACAGACAAGGUGAACACAGCUUCUGGCUACAAUCACAAUUAUUUCUUAAUUAAAUAUUUUUUAUUUUUGCAAUUGCAUUGGAAUGGUGAGGGUGUUAGGAACUAAUCACGGGUAGUCAUUGUCCAUCAUUGUUCAGACUGAUGAAAGGUUCGGCAUUCUGGUCUGAAAGACCCCGCUAAUAGUAACUACAGAAAGAUCUGAACAGAUAUGCAGUCUAAUGAGACAGAGUUCACACUACAGUGAAGAAAAGGAACUGGAUUUACUGUCUUAGUUAUCCUAUUAAAAAAAUUCAUCCUGCAUAACUCAGUUUGAGGAGGAACUUCUGCUUUAAUCAACCCUUUCUAGUUUUUUCUUUCUUUUUUCUUUUCCUGCAUAGAUAGUUAAGCCUGAUUUUACUGAAGUGAAUAAAAGAAAAGUUAUAAAAAGUUCACUCCCAGGAUUAGGUUAUGAUUUUCUGCUACUUGCUCCAUUUUAUGUGGUCUUGUUAAGUCAUGCUUCAGCACAAACAUUAUAGUUUUGUGAAGCUGUCUAGCUACAUACCUUCUUGCUUCCUCUGAGACCUAUAUUUAAGGUAAUGGCUGCUCAAAUUGAAGAGGGUGGAAUUAUUUUGGGGAGAAACACAAGUGCUUAUUCAUUUUAUUAAAUGCUUCAGUCAAUAUUGAGUGAGAAGUACCAUUUCACCAUCCGAUGUUUUGUUUCAAGUCCAGAGGCAUGCUCAGCUUUUCCAUCAAGUACUCGAUGGAAAACAAUACUGCCUUGCUUUCAGUGUUAUUUUUGGCAUCUCUUGCAUGCUACUGGAACAUCAAGACCUGUCUCUAGCUAGCUCAUUACACCAACCUCUGUUGCUCCCUUGAAAGAAGAAAACAUGCAUAGGUUUUCUACUAUUCCACAUGUCAUGAAUGAGGUUGGAUCCCCCCCCCCCCCAAAUAUUUAUGAAAAUACAGUAUUUACAUAUGAAAGACAUAUGUAAAGGAACACUUGAAAGGAGACCCUUUCUAAAGAAGUUCUGCAAACACACCCUAAGAAUGUUAGACAUAAACAACCUCAAUACAUGUUCAACUAAAGCCAAAAGACAAAGGCAAAAUAUUGGAGCAAAACUGAAGACAACUCUGCAUUUCUUCCUUUAGCUCCAUUGGGUACCACAUACAGUCAGUGACAUCUGUCUGCUAAAGCAGAAACUGCUUUUUCAGCUUCCAAAUGAGCAACUAGCCUGUCACUUGAGACAUUGCUUGAACUAGUCACCUGUAAAUGGGGUAAUAAUAUUCACUUACCAAAUUUAUUAUUAUUUAAUGAUAUAAAAACACUGGAUGAAAUUCCAGGGUAUGGUUUUUCUUUUUGCUGUUAUGCCUACAGAAAGUUAGAAAUCUUGAGGAGUCUGGUUAAAACUGGCAACAGAAAAGCUACAGAGUGUGUAAACAUAGUAGCUCCUUAGUUGAGGCUUAAGUAUAAGCCUUAGAUUUGGAAUAAAGUAGCACAGCACCGAGUCCUGAGGACUUAUUAACUUGUAAUGGGAAUACACACAUCGUUAUUUGUGCAAGGAGUAGAGAGUCUCUUUGCAAAGGUCAACACUGAUCAGAUGACAACUGAGAUGACAGUAACACUGGUCUGUUUAAAAAGAAUUUAAAUAUUUAAACCUGUCCAAAGUUGUAACUUGGAUGUACUUCUAUACUCUCUCUACCUUUAGGAAGUCACUUUCACCAGGCUAUCAGCUAUUUUCUUUUUAAUGCUACAGUGUUCUCUCUUUACUUUUCCCAUCCAACAUAAUUUAUUUACUGCCUACAUAGAUUUUAAAUUCACUGUAAAAAAAAUUUAGGUGAGCUUCACAGGAACAAUGUUAUCAUUAAAACACAGUUCACACCUCUUGGAAUGACUCUGAAACAAUAUAUAAUUUGUUUUCUGUUCAUCAAAAUUGCUAGCAUCACAGCUUGACAGCUGAAACAAAUCACAAACAAUCCUUCUAGGUACAGGCCAUGCAAUAACAUCUGAAUUGUCACAUAUUUCCAUUAUGUCUCUUGAGUUAAACUACUUCAAUUGAAUUGAAGCACAGUUUGGCUCAUUUGUAAGCCAACAUAUGAAUUAGGGUUUUAUAUUAAAAGAGAACAAAAAAGGAAAUGGUAAAAUUGAAACUCCUUCUGGUAAGAAGUUGGCUUGAUUUUAACAGAAUAUCACCCUGAUAUUUAAGGACCAAAUUUGAAGGGAAUCAAAAUGCAAGGACAAAAACAGUCCUGAGAAUGUUUGAUUCUUGCAGUGUGUUUAGACACAUCCAGCCUGAAAUCAUCAUGAAAGCAGUUUGAACCAGGGUGGAAAUAGUAAAUACUAUCUCAGCAUGAAGAACAGCUUAGAAAUAUUUUUAUCAAUGAGAUUUGAAAAGAGCGACUGAAAUCAAAGAACUCUGUUAAAUAGAUUCAGAAAUCCACAUCCUUACUGCACUGGUCUGAAUCACCAUUUUCUCCAGUAUGUGGUUUGCUCCUGCAACCAAGGGCUAUUCUAAGCCUGAUAUUCCCCAGAGUACUAUGUCAAUCAGACUCUCUCUCUCUAAAAAAAAAAAAAAAAAAAGAAAGAAAGAAAAAAAGACAGUAGAAGAGUAUCUGUAGUGUGUUUGUAUAGCUCAUAAAUAGAGAAAUAUUUGGCAGUGUAUGGUAACUGUUGAGUCAUGGGCUGAACCACUGAUUGAGCACCUGGAGGAAAGACCCAGUCAGCCCUGGGAGCACAGGUGAAGGCAAUUCACCUGUGUGACUGGAAGCCAGGCUCCACCCUUCUUAGGCCUCAUUUAAGGGCUGACUGCCACUGAGGAAGGAUCUCUUUCUGGAGAUACUUUCUUGGGGGAGCUUUUCCCAGUGAACUCAGAAUCUUCUGAUAUGGGUGUGCAAUCUUUUUCCUUUCCUUUGUAGCACCUUUCUAUUGUGCCAGUCCUUCCACCUCUUUUGUAAUGCUUUUUCCAUCGUGUUGAUCUUUCUGAUCACUACAGGCAGUAAGUCAGAAGUUUGCUGUAUGCCUUCCCUGUCUUGAAUCAGAAGAACUGAAUUCCAGGGUCCUUUGUUUAUAAGGAUUGUUGAAAGGAAAUACAAGAAAUAAAAUGGAAGAACUCAUUAAAAAUACCAAUUUCAUAUCCUUCUUGGAUGAAUGCUGACAGUGUAAAACACUUGGGACUACAGGAUACUCGCAAGGAGCCACGGUGCUUCUACAGCUCAUUUCAAAAGGGCCACAUGCUUCAGAAUGCAUCGUGCUUUGCAGCCAUGCAACAACAGAUGGCAUUAUGCUAUUUUAAGCUAUUUCAGAAAUCCCAAACUAGCUGAUCAGUUUACUACAUCAUUCCAGGUGGCACAAGGAAUACACUGCAAAACCAUCUUGAAAUACUGCCAGCACAGUUUGAAGCACCAUCUAUCUCCAUGCUGUUUUAACGUGU